ACUGCGGAGGAUCAUUAUUGAA
rnacentral:rRNA from 2 species